GGUUAAGCGACUAAGCGUACACGGUGGAUGCCCUGGCAGUCAGAGGCGAUGAAGGACGUGCUAAUCUGCGAUAAGCGUCGGUAAGGUGAUAUGAACCGUUAUAACCGGCGAUUUCCGAAUGGGGAAACCCAGUGUGAUUCGUCACACUAUCAUUACGUGAAUACAUAGCGUAAUGAAGCGAACCGGGGGAACUGAAACAUCUAAGUACCCCGAGGAAAAGAAAUCAACCGAGAUUCCCCCAGUAGCGGCGAGCGAACGGGGAGCAGCCCAGAGUCUGAAUCAGCUUGUGUGUUAGUGGAACGGUCUGGAAAGUCCGACGGUACAGGGUGAUAGUCCCGUACACCAAAAUGCACAGGUUGUGAACUCGAAGAGUAGGGCGGGACACGUGGUAUCCUGUCUGAAUAUGGGGGGACCAUCCUCCAAGGCUAAAUACUCCUGACUGACCGAUAGUGAACCAGUACCGUGAGGGAAAGGCGAAAAGAACCCCGGCGAGGGGAGUGAAAAAGAACCUGAAACCGUGUACGUACAAGCAGUGGGAGCAUCCUUUUGGGUGUGACUGCGUACCUUUUGUAUAAUGGGUCAGCGACUUAUAUUCUGUAGCAAGGUUAACCGUAUAGGGGAGCCGAAGGGAAACCGAGUCUUAACUGGGCGUUAAGUUGCAGGGUAUAGACCCGAAACCCGGUGAUCUAGCCAUGGGCAGGUUGAAGGUUGGGUAACACUAACUGGAGGACCGAACCGACUAAUGUUGAAAAAUUAGCGGAUGACUUGUGGCUGGGGGUGAAAGGCCAAUCAAACCGGGAGAUAGCUGGUUCUCCCCGAAAGCUAUUUAGGUAGCGCCUCGUGAACUCAUCUUCGGGGGUAGAGCACUGUUUCGGCUAGGGGGUCAUCCCGACUUACCAACCCGAUGCAAACUGCGAAUACCGAAGAAUGUUAUCACGGGAGACACACGGCGGGUGCUAACGUCCGUCGUGAAGAGGGAAACAACCCAGACCGCCAGCUAAGGUCCCAAAGUCAUGGUUAAGUGGGAAACGAUGUGGGAAGGCACAGACAGCCAGGAUGUUGGCUUAGAAGCAGCCAUCAUUUAAAGAAAGCGUAAUAGCUCACUGGUCGAGUCGGCCUGCGCGGAAGAUGUAACGGGGCUAAACCAUGCACCGAAGCUGCGGCAGCGACACUAUGUGUUGUUGGGUAGGGGAGCGUUCUGUAAGCCGUUGAAGGUGUAUCGUGAGGUAUGCUGGAGGUAUCAGAAGUGCGAAUGCUGACAUAAGUAACGAUAAUGCGGGUGAAAAACCCGCACGCCGGAAGACCAAGGGUUCCUGUCCAACGUUAAUCGGGGCAGGGUGAGUCGACCCCUAAGGCGAGGCCGAAAGGCGUAGUCGAUGGGAAACAGGUUAAUAUUCCUGUACUUGGUGUUACUGCGAAGGGGGACGGAGAAGGCUAUGUUAGCCGGGCGACGGUUGUCCCGGUUUAAGCAUGUAGGCGGAGGUUCCAGGUAAAUCCGGUACCUUUUUAACGCUGAGGUGUGAUGACGAGGCACUACGGUGCUGAAGUAACAAAUGCCCUGCUUCCAGGAAAAGCCUCUAAGCAUCAGGUAACACAAAAUCGUACCCCAAACCGACACAGGUGGUCAGGUAGAGAAUACCAAGGCGCUUGAGAGAACUCGGGUGAAGGAACUAGGCAAAAUGGUGCCGUAACUUCGGGAGAAGGCACGCUGAUAUGUAGGUGAAGUGAUUUACUCAUGGAGCUGAAAUCAGUCGAAGAUACCAGCUGGCUGCAACUGUUUAUUAAAAACACAGCACUGUGCAAACACGAAAGUGGACGUAUACGGUGUGACGCCUGCCCGGUGCCGGAAGGUUAAUUGAUGGGGUUAUCCGUAAGGAGAAGCUCUUGAUCGAAGCCCCGGUAAACGGCGGCCGUAACUAUAACGGUCCUAAGGUAGCGAAAUUCCUUGUCGGGUAAGUUCCGACCUGCACGAAUGGCGUAAUGAUGGCCAGGCUGUCUCCACCCGAGACUCAGUGAAAUUGAACUCGCUGUGAAGAUGCAGUGUACCCGCGGCAAGACGGAAAGACCCCGUGAACCUUUACUAUAGCUUGACACUGAACACUGGUCCUUGAUGUGUAGGAUAGGUGGGAGGCUUUGAAGUGUGGACGCCAGUCUGCAUGGAGCCAUCCUUGAAAUACCACCCUUUAAUGGCUGGUGUUCUAACGUGGACCCGUUACCCGGGUUGCGGACAGUGUCUGGUGGGUAGUUUGACUGGGGCGGUCUCCUCCUAAAGAGUAACGGAGGAGCACGAAGGUUAGCUAAUCCUGGUCGGACAUCAGGAGGUUAGUGCAAAGGCAUAAGCUAGCUUGACUGCGAGAGUGACGGCUCGAGCAGGUGCGAAAGCAGGUCUUAGUGAUCCGGUGGUUCUGAAUGGAAGGGCCAUCGCUCAACGGAUAAAAGGUACUCCGGGGAUAACAGGCUGAUACCGCCCAAGAGUUCAUAUCGACGGCGGUGUUUGGCACCUCGAUGUCGGCUCAUCACAUCCUGGGGCUGAAGUAGGUCCCAAGGGUAUGGCUGUUCGCCAUUUAAAGUGGUACGCGAGCUGGGUUUAGAACGUCGUGAGACAGUUCGGUCCCUAUCUGCCGUGGGCGCUGGAGAAUUGAGGGGGGCUGCUCCUAGUACGAGAGGACCGGAGUGGACGCAUCACUGGUGUUCGGGUUGUCAUGCCAAUGGCAUUGCCCGGUAGCUAAAUGCGGAAGAGAUAAGUGCUGAAAGCAUCUAAGCACGAAACUUGCCCCGAGAUGAGUUCUCCCUGAGACUUUAAGUCUCCUGAAGGAACGUUAAAGACGAUGACGUUGAUAGGUCGGGUGUGUAAGUGUAGCGAUACAUUGAGCUAACCGAUACUAAUGAACCGUGAGGCUUAACCUU
rnacentral:rRNA from 1 species